rnacentral:misc_RNA from 1 species
GUAGGUGAACCUGCGGAGGGAUCAUUAUCGAGAGACCGGGGUCUAACCGGCCCCACUCUUCACCCGUGUCUAUCUACCUCUGUUGCUUUGGCGGGCCAUCGUGCCUCACAGCCCGGCGCCGGUUCCGGAGGCUCCGGCCUUUCGCCCGGCGAGCGCCCGCCAGAGGCCCUAUAAACUCCGUUAUCAAUGUUGUCCGAGUCAAAAUUCAAUAGUUAAAACUUUCAACAACGGAUCUCUUGGUUCCG